GCUCAACAUCCCGCUGGCCCAAUUAACGGCCAUCGUACGAUUAAAAUCUCUCGUAUGCAAUUUUCAAAACGCGGUUAUUUUCUUACCACCUAAAACCUCUUUUCUAAAUCUAAUUUGUACGUUUCAACACCUCCCACAAAAAUGCAUGUACGCCAGUAGCCGAUUAAUUCACAAUCGAUUUUACCCAAAUAUAGUGUCAUGAUGAGAAAAUCACGGAAUUUGAAAAAGAUAAUUGGAAUGCCGGUUAUAACACAAGAAUUUGAUGAUCGGUGUACAAUAAAACAUACAUUUUUUUUGUUUUCAUAACAUCUGCUUGAAUCGCCAAAUAUGAUAUUGUUAUAUAAAUACCGGGCCAGUUGAAUAACUUAGCACGAUCCGGUUCCUCUAGUAAAAAAAAAAAAAAAUCAUUGAUUGUCAGUAAGCAUCUCAGUUGUAUUGGAACCGUGUAUAGGUAUAGGUACCUUUUGAAAAUGUUUUAAUUGCGUCUGUUGUCACUUGUGUCGAGUUAAUUCAUUUUCAUUCGCAUAUUUUUUAUGGAAUUUUUGUUUACGUAAAGAUAUACUCGUACAAAUGCAGAUAAAUAAAUACAAUUAUAUACUGUUCAAUCAGAAACGUGUCCAAGAAUAAACAGACUCCUAAUGCUUAACCCGACAAUGGGAAUUUUAAAAACCAGUAUACAAUAAAGCCAAUUUGUAUUCUUCAAUAAAUCGUUUAUCGAGCUUUUCCUCGUGAAUCGGCUAAACGUUGAAAUGUAUACAUUUCAAGAAUAAAUUACCAAAAUAAAUAUUUAUAAUAAUUGUCGUAUAUUUAAAUCAGCAGAGGGGGGAUAUAGAACAAUAAACAAUAUAUUUGUUCUAUUCUCGAUAGUUUUUUAUCAUUCAUAUUUUUAUCUAUUAGGUAUAGGUACUCAUGUCAGAUACAGAGUAUUUAUUAUCGUCUAGUAUCCCUUCGAAUACUGUACAUCAGGAAUUCACGGAAAUUCGAAUACAUUUUUCUGUCCGUAAACUCAUAAACGUCGUUCCCCCGUCUCGAAAUCGUAACCUAUGUGUAUAUACCUACUAUAUUUAUACUCACUAAGCGUAUUAUUAUUGUAUUAUGAAACAGCCAGAAAUCAAAAGUCACAGAGACGUACACAGCAGCGCACGUCAUGUAUACGGAGGGCAGACGAUGAGCAAACAAUACUGUCUACGACUCAUAUUAUAGUGGUGUUUGUUUUGUUUUUCUGUUAUUCCAAAGCAAACAAAACGCGUGUGAUAAAAAAAAAAAAAAAAAAAAAAAAAAAAAUACCCGUGGAAAAACCUGCCUACGCGCGUAUACACGCUGGGUGCGGGUGUUGUGAUUAUACGUACUGAUUAUUAUUACCUGAUGAUUUUAUACUUUACCUUCGCGGCGAGUUUGUCGUUCCCCCUUCCCUCUUCCGCCUCGAUCGCGAGAAGGUGGCGCAUCCUGUAAUUGUGUUUGUUUGUUUGGGUUUUUUUUUUUUUCUGGGAGUUGAAAGAACGAAAAAAAAAACCAAACGGGUAAAGAGAUGGCAUAUCGGGUGUUAAUGGUGAGUGCCGACAACGACGACGGCGUUGUGUAUUAUAUAGGUACGUGCUGCGCUAAAAAAUAACGAAGGGGGGAAAAAAAAACGCACACAAAUCCGACUCAAAUGAACCGCCGCCGCCGCCGACCAGUUUAGGUAACCGCCCGGAUGUGUCGGGCUUAACAUGAUUCGCAUCCAAAACGACUAAUUACCGUCCGGUUUUAGAAAUGUCGGGUUUUUUUUUUUUUUUUUUGUUCGUUUUAAUAUUCGCGCAUUGUUUCGUAC